rnacentral:rRNA from 1 species
AUGAACGCUGGCGGCGUGCCUAAUACAUGCAAGUCGAGCGAACAGACGAGGAGCUUGCUCCUCUGACGUUAGCGGCGGCCGGGUGAGUAACACGUGGAUAACCUACCUAUAAGACUGGGAUAACUUCGGGAAACCGGAGCUAAUACCGGAUAAUAUAUUGAACCGCCUGGUUCAAUAGUGAAAGACGGUUUUGCUGUCACUUAUAGAUGGAUCCGCGCCGCAUUAGCUAGUUGGUAAGGUAACGGCUUACCAAGGCAACGAUGCGUAGCCGACCUGAGAGGGUGAUCGGCCACACUGGAACUGAGACACGGUCCAGACUCCUACGGGAGGCAGCAGUAGGGAAUCUUCCGCAAUGGGCGAAAGCCUGACGGAGCAACGCCGCGUGAGUGAUGAAGGUCUUCGGAUCGUAAAACUCUGUUAUUAGGGAAGAACAAAUGUGUAAGUAACUAUGCACGUCUUGACGGUACCUAAUCAGAAAGCCACGGCUAACUACGUG